rnacentral:tRNA from 1 species
GUCUGGCUGGCUCAGUUGGAAGAGCGUGUGACUCUUGAUCUCAGGGUCAUGAGUUCGAGCCCCAUGUUGGGAG